AUUGAACGCUGGCGGCAUGCCUUACGCAUGCAAGUCGAACGGCAGCGCGGGGCAACCUGGCGGCGAGUGGCGAACGGGUGAGUAACAUAUCGGAACAUACCCUAGAGUGGGGGAUAACGUAGCGAAAGUUACGCUAAUACCGCAUACGCACUAAGGUGGAAAGUGGGGGAUCUUCGGACCUCAUGCUCAUGGAGUGGCCGAUAUCUGAUUAGCUAGUUGGUGAGGUAAAGGCUCACCAAGGCGACGAUCAGUAGCUGGUUUGAGAGAACGACCAGCCACACUGGAACUGAGACACGGUCCAGACUCCUACGGGAGGCAGCAGUGGGGAAUUUUGGACAAUGGGGGCGAACCCUGAUCCAGCAAUGCCGCGUGAGUGAAG
rnacentral:rRNA from 1 species